CUCAGUGAGGGGGCGGGGCCAGAGACAGCCGAGCUCCUUCAGAAGAACGUUAAGGUGUUUGGAGACUUUGGGUGCUCCUCUGGAGUUGCACCGCGGUCCCUCCGCUGGAGGGCGCAGCGGGUCCUUAAGAGGGAAUGGUGGGGGCGAGCACUGUGAGUUCCGACUAAAGCCCCCUGCCUGCCUGUGUGUGGAGAGAUCCAUCACCUCUUGCCAACCAAAGUGCCCACAAUUAUGCCCCUUCUGCUUGGAGUUAUGGCCAACUUGAAGCACAGAAUUGCUCCCGAGAUGCAACCUUGCUCACAAUGAAGACUUGCAAGAGAUGAAAUUGUCCUUCCAGUACCAUAACCACAAGUGACCCACAUGAACCAUCAUUCCCAACAGCAAUAAACUGGGGCAAUAAAGUUGGAAAGAAGGGCUGACUCCACAGCUAUGGGGUAAGAGUUCCCUGGCAGGAGAAGAAAGACUGAAAGAUACAGUGCUUUCUUGGAGACAAAAGAAGCAAAGAGAGUCUGAGGAAAGGAGAUUGUAAAAACAAAAUAAAACCCUCUGAGCCUUGACUAAUUGCCCCUAAAUGCCUCACUCCAAAACGUUUUUUUUUUUUUUCUUGUAUUGCUCUUUGUACUUUAAACACCCUUUCUGUACACGUGAGGUGCAGGCGAGAGGGAGAUAGCAGCGGCAGAGCCUAAUGGAGCUGGGAAUCACAAAGACCGUGCGUGGAGAUCUUGGACUGAAUCCCACUAUUUGUCGGAUGAGUCCUGGAAACACCCACUGAAUUGGCUGUGUCAUCCUUCCCUGCAAAUGACAUUUUAACAAGAUUCUUCUACAGCCUGAAGUGGUGACUUUGUGAUCUCUCAGCCUUAGUCACGUCCUCUCUCCCACCCAAGCCCCAGAGACUCUUCCUCUUUUCCUUGGCAGUUUCAGAGUCCCAGAAUAUUAUUUAUCAGUCAGCAGCAGAGGGCGAUCUGGUCCCGGGAGGAUGACCUGGUCAACUCCUGCCGUGUGCCUGGAUUGCUAAUGACUUGCAGCUCCAUCAACAUAAAGCUGAACUCUUCACAAAGGAACAUUGUCACUAAGCAUUUUCCUUUUCAUUCUUGAAAGCUCCACUGCUUUAGCUAACCCCUUCCCCCUCCCUUCUUCAUUCCUGCUCUCUUUCCUCUUCUAACCUCUUGGAAGCAGCAGGAAAUGAGCAAGGUCCACAGUGGAGAAAAACAAAUCCUAGAGCCCUGCUGAGGGAAAGCACAGGAAAAUGACCAAGAGGCAUUAGCAGCUGCAGGAGUUGUAGGUAGCCGUGUGUAUUUGGGUGUGUGUAUGUGUGUGUCUGAGAGAGAGAGAAAUAGAAGAGAGAGGGAGAGAGGGAGAGAGGGAGAGAGAGAGAGAGAGAGAGAGAGAGAGAGAGAGAGAAUAUGUGUAUGUCUUCUACACAGCAGUACCUUUCAAACUUUUAAACUUUAGCACACAUAAAAAUCACCUGGAGAGCUUGUUAAAACACAGCUUCCUGGGCCUCACCCAGGAAUUCUGAUUUACAAGUCUGGAGUGGAGCCCAAGAAUUUGCAUUCUUAACACUCCCAAGGUAUUUUAAUGAUGCCAGUGGAGGACCACGUUUUGAGUAGCACUGCUGUACACAAAUGCAGUGAAUGGACUGUAUAGAUCUGGGUCAGGGGUUUACUUGGAUAAAAUCCUGAUAAUAUGACCUCCCCCAGAACAGUCAGUCCAGAUCCUUCUAAUUCCAGACCAGAAGAUUUCAUAGAUCAGCCUACUGCUGUUCCCUCCCCUUGGAAAAGCAGCAGAGAAAGUAUCAACAGGGCAUUGUUUGGAGGGGGCUCAGUUCAGAUAAUAGGCUGGUUCUCCAUUGACUGUUUCUUUCAUCCCAACUGGCAGGAGAAGCACAGAAGGCCCCUCCUUUGCCCCUGGGCAGGGAUGGGUUCUCUAUCUACAUAAAAAUCAACAAUUCUUCCUAACCCUGUGUUCAACAACUCCUGCCCAGAGGCCUCUGUCCUCUCCUCCUCUCCAGACCCUAGAACCUCCAGAGUCAUAAAGGCUGGCAGAAUGAGCUGGUAAUCCUUGAGAUACCCAAAGCCACGUAGGCUGAUUUAAAGAGACUCACUCUCUUCUGUUUAUACUCCCAAAGAUGACAAGACAGAGAAAAGCAUUGCUGUGAUCUAAAUGUUGAUGCAUGCCCCCUCCAAAAUUAAUCUGUUGGAAUUUAAUCACAAAAGUAAUGGUAUUAAGAGGUGGGAUCUUUAGAAGGUUAUUAGGUCAUAAAGGCAAAGCCCUCAGGGGUGGGAUUAGUGCCCAUAUAAAAGAGGCUUGAGGAGGCCUGCCCGGUGGCUCACGCCUG